GUGAGGUAACGGCUCACCAAGGCAACGAUGCGUAGCCGACCUGAGAGGGUGAUCGGCCACACUGGGACUGAGACACGGCCCAGACUCCUACGGGAGGCAGCAGUAGGGAAUCUUCCGCAAUGGACGAAAGUCUGACGGAGCAACGCCGCGUGAGUGAUGAAGGCUUUCGGGUCGUAAAACUCUGUUGUUAGGGAAGAACAAGUGCUAGUUGAAUAAGCUGGCACCUUGACGGUACCUAACCAGAAAGCCACGGCUAACUACGUGCCAGCAGCCGCGGUAAUACGUAGGUGGCAAGCGUUAUCCGGAAUUAUUGGGCGUAAAGCGCGCGCAGGUGGUUUCUUAAGUCUGAUGUGAAAGCCCACGGCUCAACCGUGGAGGGUCAUUGGAAACUGGGAGACUUGAGUGCAGAAGAGGAAAGGGGAAUUCCACGUGUAGCGCUGAAAUGAGUAGACAUACGGAGGAACACCAG
rnacentral:rRNA from 1 species